GAUGAACGCUGGCGGCGUGCUUAACACAUGCAAGUCGAACGGGAAACCUUUUAUUGAAGCUUCGGCAGAUUUAGCUGGUUUCUAGUGGCGGACGGGUGAGUAACGCGUGGGUAACCUGCCUUAUACAGGGGGAUAACAACCAGAAAUGGUUGCUAAUACCGCAUAAGCGCACAGGACCGCAUGGUCCGGUGUGAAAAACUCCGGUGGUAUAAGAUGGACCCGCGUUGGAUUAGCUAGUUGGCAGGGUAACGGCCUACCAAGGCGACGAUCCAUAGCCAGCCUGAGAGGGUGAACGGCCACAUUGGGACUGAGACACGGCCCAGACUCCUACGGGAGGCAGCAGUGGGGAAUAUUGCACAAUGGGGGAAACCCUGAUGCAGCGACGCCGCGUGAAGGAAGAAGUAUCUCGGUAUGUAAACUUCUAUCAGCAGGGAAGAUAGUGACGGUACCUGACUAAGAAGCCCCGGCUAACUACGUG
rnacentral:rRNA from 1 species